rnacentral:rRNA from 1 species
GACGAACGCUGGCGGCGUGCCUAAUACAUGCAAGUUGAGCGCUUAAGGUUGGUACUUGUACCAACUGGAUGAGCAGCGAACGGGUGAGUAACGCGUGGUGAAUCUGCCUUUGAGCGGGGGACAACAUUUGGAAACGAAUGCUAAUACCGCAUAAAAACUUUAAACACAAGUUUUAAGUUUGAAAGAUGCAAUUGCAUCACUCAAAGAUGAUCCCGCGUUGUAUUAGCUAGUUGGUGAGGUAAAGGCUCACCAAGGCGAUGAUACAUAGCCGACCUGAGAGGGUGAUCGGCCACAUUGGGACUGAGACACGGCCCAAACUACUACGGGAGGCAGCAGUAGGGAAUCUUCGGCAAUGGACGAAAGUCUGACCGAGCAACGCCGCGUGAGUGAAGAAGGUUUUCGGAUCGUAAAACUCUGUUGGUAGAGAAGAACGUUGGUGAGAGUGGAAAGCUCAUCAAGUGACGGUAACUACCCAGAAAGGGACGGCUAACUACGUG